ensembl:lncRNA uncharacterized LOC110076278
CCCCCCGCCGUGGCGAUGAGAAAGAGGAGGAGGAGGAGGAGGAAGCCUGGGCGGCGGCUGCCUGAACAUGGGAGAGAGGUGUCUCUGGCGUGGGCUUGUUUGUUUGUUGGUUGCCUCGCCAUGCCCCCAGGGUUUGCCCCCACCCCGCCGUCUCCUCCUGACGGAGCUGGAAGAGGAGGAGGAGGAGGAGGAAGAGAAGAGCCACAGCCCGGCCGUCAGUCCCGCCGGACGACUCGCCUCUCCUCCUUUCUCCCCGAUCGGCCACGGGGGUGUGCUUCUUAAGAGCCACACCACCACCACUAUCACCCCCAGCAACAGCGAGAGGAGCGGCGGUGUCCUGAACUGGAGCAACCGCCGGUCCCGACCGGUCCGCGCCGAGGAAGAAAACUGGCCACAGCAAGUGGCUGAAAUCUGGGGACCUUGUUUGGAUCCAUGGAGAAAGCGAUGCUGCAGGAUCUCCAGCAUGGAGCUGCGCCUCUGUUGCAGAUCCAUGAGAGUUUAUUGUGCCUAUCAAGGUUUCUGGGUCACUCAUCAUACUUUAUGUUGCCAUGCUUGGUUUAUAUCCCAAGCACAAGGGGCAAAUUUGCUCUAUAUCAUAUAUUCCCUUCAUCUUGCCUACUCCAAAUAUCUAUUGGCUUGGGUUCUUGUUGGUCCCCAACUGUUCCAUAAAUUUGGCAUUCAUUGUUCAACGACUGCCAUUUUUACCAGCUUAGCUCCUAGCAUCGCUCGCUGCCCCCUGUGCUUUUGUUAUGAGAGCAGCUUUCACAGAUGCUGCAAUGAUGCCAGAUCAGCAGCGUCCCUGAGAUGCAGAUCCAAAACCUGAGACCAGAGGGCAGGGCCUUGUGAGAUCAUAUGGUGGAUCCGUGUGAUGCCACAGAGGAAGGGUAGGCAGGAUUUGGGAGAGAAGGCUGCACAACACACAUGCAGAUGCCUUUGUGCUGAACCUGUGAGUCCAGGUACUAGGAGGAAAUGGACAGAGAUGGUUGUCCAGGCUUUAAAGCUACCUGGCAAGCCUGGCAGGGAGCCAUCACACAGAAAAUCUGGAGGUGUUCAGAGAAAUCAUGAUACAGAAAGCUGAAGUGAAUGAAUGAUGUUUGCAGCCCAGAGAAACUGCUUUCUGGACUACAGUUCCCUGAAAUGGCCCUACUGUCUCAGAGAUUCUUGAGAGAAUAAUCCAAAAAAGCAACUUUAAAAAGCUUUGCUGAAUCUUUAGAGAAAAUUACGAUCUAGGGAUGGGAAGUUAUCUAUUCAUUAAUCCACUCUGGCCUAAUUUUUCCCCCUUCAAAGCUGAGGCAUUACUAUGUUCAUUCCAGCUGUAGAUCAUUAAUGUGAUGUGUGGACCCUUUCUUUACAACCUUUAAAAGCUGCCCAGUGAACCAGGCAACCAUCAGGAAAAAAAGUUUUAAGGAAAAUUGGAUUGCUUUACCUUAAAAUACAGCUUUGCCACAAGAGAGUGCCAGGAUAUUGAACUAACUUACAAUAACACACUCAUUGUCCAUCCAAACCAACAUCAGCAUGGCACCUUAGUGCCCACAUGGGACUGGCACAGUUUCCAAACUGUUCUACUUUUCGUCUUGUUUGUAAAAGCAUUGGUAGGCAAAGAGCAGUCAGUCGGGCAUUUACAGGUUGGAAGACGUCGGUGCCUUGUGUCUUGGAACCAAACAGUGAACCCACACUGGAGUUCCAGUGGGGACCUGAAUGAUAUUUUUAUAUGUGUAAAUGCCACCAAUGUGUAUCUUUAUUAAAAACUGAUUCCAAACAAGAGUUCAUGUGUCUCUUGUGUGCUAUGUGUGUUAUUCUCUUUUUGCUUCAGCUGUGAAAAA